GUCUACGGCCAUGCUACCCUGAACAAGCCUGAUCUCGUCUGAUCUCGGAAGCUAAGCAGGAUUGGGCAUGGUUAGUACUUGGAUGGGAGACCACCUAGGAAGACCAGGUGCUGUAGGCA
rnacentral:rRNA from 1 species